AUGCUGACUGAGGAUGAGAUGGGGCACCCAGAGACAGGAGAUGCUAUUGCCCGGCUUAAGGAGGUCCUGGAGUACAGUGCCAUUGGAGGCAAGUACCACCAGAGUGUGACGGUGCUGGUAGCAUUUCGGGAGCUGGUGGAACCAAGGAAACAGGAUGCUGAUAGUCUCCAACGGGCCUUGACUGUCAAUGACUCUAUGCUUCUGGAAGCGUGUAUCUACUGCCUGUUGAAACUCUACUGCUGGGAGCAGCCCUAUUACCUGAACCUGAUUGAGCUCUUCCUGCAGAGUUCAUAUCAGACUGAGAUUGGGCAGACUCUGGACCUUAUCACAGCCCCCCAGGGUAAUGUGGAUCUUGGGAGAUUUACCGAAAAGAGGUACAAAUCUAUUGUCAAGUACAAGACAGCUGUCUACUCCUUCUACCUUCCUGUAGCUGCUGCUAUGUACAUGUACAUGGCAGGCACUGAUGGGCAGAAGGAACAUAGUCAUGCGAAGAAGAUCCUGCUGGAGAUGGGCAAGUUCCUUCAGAUCCAGGAUGUUUACCUUGAUCUCUUUUACCUUGAUCUAGGAUGUUUACCUUGAUCAGUGUGAUGGGCAAGGUUGGGACUGACAUCCAGGACAACAAAUGCAGCUGGCUGGUGGUUCAGUGUCUGCAAUAGGCCACUCCGGAGCAGCACCAGAUAUUCCAGGAGAAUUACGGGCAGAAGGAGGCAGAGAAGGUGGUCUGGGUGAAGGCCCUGUACGAGGAGCUGGCUCUCCCUGCUCUGUUCUUGCAGCAUGAGGAGGACAGCUACAGCCGCCUUAUGAGUCUCACUGAGCAGUUUGCAGCACCCCUGUCCCCAGCCAUCUUCCUGGAGGUAGCACACAAAAUCUAUAAGCGGCAAAAGUGACCUAGACACUGCAAGGAUGGGGAGAGGAGGCUCAAGAAAUUAUUGUGUAACCUUGA